CUCAGCCAAAGAAGAAACAAAGGGAGGGAGGCACGCUGGCUGCCUGCUGCAGAGUUUGGGCCACGACCUAGGGAGAAACUGGGCUCUAGUGGGGGAAAGGAAAAGGGGCUUGGCCCAGAAGAAAAGGGGAGAGCUGGGCCUGCAGUGGGGAGAAUGGGGUGGACCUUCGGCUGCUGGGCAUCUAGGCCGAGAGUGAAGAAAAGGGGAGGGAGGAGAGGGCCUUCGGGCCAAAAUAGUGGAGGGAGAGUUUUUCGUUUUUCUUUUGUUUUUUUCUAAAGCCAUUUCAAAAUCCAUUUUAAAAUCUAUUUGAAAUAUUUUGACUUUGCUCAAAACCACACAUUGAAAAAAACAUAUGCUCCAAUAUGAUGCACAACCAUAUUGCUAAAUUCUAUGGUAAGUUUUAUUUUAAUGAAAAUAUUAUUUUCCUAUGUUUCAUGAGCACAAAAAUACAAAAUAAAUUACUUUAGCUUUAUUUUCAAAGAAGCAAAAUUUAGGGUGUUACAAUUCUACCCCCUUAAGAUGAAUCUCGUCCUCGAGAUUCGGAAGAGGCUCGGAUCCACUAAGAGAAAAUAGGAUAAAGAUCUUGAUAACUCUUUCAAU
rnacentral:lncRNA from 1 species